UGUGUUUAUCUGGAAAAACUUCAUUUUCUUGUUCCAUCAUCAUUUCUUUGUAAAGAACAAUAGCAUGAUGUGUUGGAAAAAAUAUGAAAUAGAAUUAUUUCAUUAAUAUAAAUCAAAGAAAUAUUGGUACAAAUAUAUAUGAUACAUAAUAAAAUAAAAAUAUAGAACAAGAAGAACUUAUCGAUUUGACUGAGGCGUGCAAAUGCACUGGGCUUAAGAGUAUUUCGCCACCACAGAUAAGUUACCCGGUGCAGUUGGUCUCAUAGCUAAUACCCUCCAGGAUACAACAGUCACAUCUUGCUAGCACUGCACGUGAAUUAGCAAGUUCUCAUAGAACUACUUUUGGAUGCUCAUGGAAACUUCAUAUAUAUUUUAUUUGUGUGGCUUAUAAUCAUAUCUCUUGUUCUGCUUCUAGAGAACCCUUAUAUAUAGCCCAUCCCUCCUAUGAUAUGUUAACGUUGCACUAUAUUAAUCCUCAAGCCAAAUCAUGAUUUUAUUUAUUAAGACGGUAACCGAAUUGUGCACAAGUAAAUAGGAUUGAUGAGUAAUAACGCUAAUAAAAUAGCAACAGCUAUCUUCACUAAGUAACCAAUUAAUUAGAAACGUGUAUGACCAAUCAAUAAUAAUAAUAAUAAUAAUAAACUUUAAAAAAUAAAUUAUAAAAUAUCCUACAUGAUGUUUAUGAUUUGUGAUUUUAGCGUAGGUUCGUAUGAGAAUGUUCCACAUGAAGGAAUUUGGGUUGUUAAAGUGAUGAAAAAGAUGUGUAGUGUAAUUGAGAUUUGUGAAGGAGUAAUGGUGAAGAAGUUUGGUGUG
rnacentral:lncRNA from 1 species